AUAGACAUUCAUAAUUUGAGCCAUGGAUGUUCAUGUGUACUUGACAGGUCAAACUAUGAAGAACCCAAUGUCAAAUCCAACUUUGUCCAUGUUUGCCUUAGGGUUGAGUUUGUCUCUAAGUUAAUAGCUUUUACUGGCUUAGACAUUCACACUCAUCUCUUUUAUUUUAUGCUUAGUCAUAUUUAAAUCCAGAAUGUAAUAGUCUACUAGACAGAUAAAUGAGAUGCAUGAAUAUAAAAAUAUAUAAGGAAAAGGAGAAGGUAAACUAUUUAUAACUAUUAUAUUACUAACAUUUCAAAAUGUAUUAAUUGCUUAUAAACUGUAUAAUUACAACAUGUCUAUGCUCUAUUAACCAGAAGGCCGAGGACGUAUCAACAGGCUGGCUACUGUACUGGAGUGUUCAGCACAGUUGCCAUUGUGGAAGGUUUUUGCACAGUUAAAACAUUGGUAAAACAUGGCUUUAACCCUCAGCGUGUCAGAUAUGAGUGACUUUGGCUGUAGACUAGCAUUAGUGAUGGUUGCUCAGCCUGAAGAGCUGUGAAAUGGGGUGAGAUCAGUCAUGGUUCAUUCUUACUUCAAAGGUUUAAUAGUUUGGAAUUUUGAUUGACUUGGCACGUUCUAUCAUUGUCAUAACUUAAAUAAUUCAGUUAAAAAUUUUUUAAACAUGAUUUGAUAUUCUAGGGCUUUUCUUUUUUAAAAAAUGAGAAGCAGGUAAAGAAUUGUAAAGAUUUGGGACUUCUCUGUGGCAUUGUGAAAAUAAAUAAGCCAAUGUGAAAGGAA
rnacentral:lncRNA from 1 species